rnacentral:sRNA from 1 species
AUGCAGUGUAGGCAUUCUCACGUCAGAUCAGCUAUAAUCUCAUCAUGAACAAGGGCUGCAGCACAUUUUAUUUGGAAGCAGAUCCUACUUAUUGCAGGUGAAGGACUCUGCCAAACAGCCCCAGAUGGUGUUCACGGUCCGCCACGCCACCGUCACCUUCCAGACAGAAGGGGACACGUGGCGGGAGCAGAAGGAGCAGCGGGCCGCCCUCAUGGUGGGCAUCCUCAUUGGUGUGUUCGUGCUCUGCUGGAUCCCCUUCUUUCUCACCGAGCUCAUCAGUCCCCUCUGCUCCUGUGACAUCCCCACCAUCUGGAAAAGCAUCUUCCUGUGGCUUGGCUACUCCAACUCCUUCUUUAACCCCCUGAUCUAUACGGCUUUCAACAAGAACUACAACAGCGCCUUCAAGAACUUCUUUUCUAGGCAACACUGAGGGAGAGGACCAGGAUUGAAAAAAGUUUCUUCCCAUAAUUCAGUGGAAUUCCCAGUUCAUCCAUUUCCCAUCCCCACCCAACAGCCAUGUGGACGGGAUGAAUCCUCACCAUUCUCCAGGGUCAUCUU